AUUGAACGCUGGCGGCAGGCCUAACACAUGCAAGUCGAGCGGAACGUCGGACGGGAGAGUAAUGCCUAGGAAUCUGCCUGGUAGUGGGCGAUAACGUCCGGAAACGGGCGCUAAUACCGCAUACUCUCAGAUGAGCCUAGGUCGGAUUAGCUAGUUGGUGGGGUAAAGGCCUACCAAGGCGACGAUCCGUAACUGGACUGAGGGGAUGAUGCGUCAAACUGGAAUUGCGAAACGGUCCAGACUCCGACGGGAGGCAGCGGAGGGGAAUAGUGGACAAUGGGCGAAAGCCUGAUCCAGCCAUGCCGCGUGUGUGAAGAAGGUCUUCGGAUGGUAAAGCACUUUAAGUUGGGAGGCGUUACCAACAGAAUAAGCACCGGCUAACUUCGUGCCAGCAGCCGCGGUAAGAC
rnacentral:rRNA from 1 species